CUACUAGGGUUUCUAAUCCUGUUUGCUCCCCACGCUUUCGCGCCUCAGCGUCAGUAUCGGGCCAGUGAGUCGCCUUCGCCACUGGUGUUCUUCCGAAUAUCUACGAAUUUCACCUCUACACUCGGAGUUCCACUCACCUCUCCCGAACUCAAGACCAGCAGUUUUGAAGGCAAUUCCGAGGUUGAGCCCCGGGCUUUCACCCCCAACUUGCUGAUCCGCCUACGCGCCCUUUACGCCCAGUAAAUCCGAGCAACGCUAGCCCCCUUCGUAUUACCGCGGCUGCUGGCAC
rnacentral:rRNA from 1 species